rnacentral:rRNA from 1 species
CAGCAGCCGCGGUAAUACGAAGGGUGCAAGCGUUAAUCGGAAUUACUGGGCGUAAAGCGUGCGUAGGCGGUGAGUUAAGUCUGCUGUGAAAUCCCCGGGCUCAACCUGGGAAUUGCAGUGGAUACUGGAUCACUAGAGUGUGGUAGAGGAUAGUGGAAAUUCCGGUGUAGCAGUGAAAUGCGUAGAGAUCGGAAGGAACAUCUGUGGCGAAGGCGACUAUCUGGGCCAACACUGACACUGAGGCACGAAAGCGUGGGGAGCAAACAGGAUUAGAUACCCCAGUAGUCCCUGUCUCUUAUCC